UUCUGAAGCUUCCCCCAUUCACGGUGCCUGUAAAGAAGGAAGACAAUGACAGGAGGCACCAGAAGCGAUGAAAAUGGACUUCACUUUAAAUUAUGCCUUGCCACCCCACUCUUUUCUAUAUUUUUUUCCUCCCUCGCAUGGCUUUUGCUCUUUUAUUUGGCAUGACUCUCUGGAACUGUUCUUUUGUGAGAAUGCGUUUUUGAGACUGAUGAACUUUACCAUGGGCUGCGCAAGAUGUGAUUAGGACAAUAAAAUACUUAUUUCAUACA